CAUCAGAUUCAAGCUCACUUUAGUCCAUGAAGCUUAUGCCAUAAUAAACUUGCUAAUGUUUAAAGUCCCACAAGACUCUUUAUUGGUUCCUAAGUGAGGAUAUUUAAUGCUGCAACAAUGUUUGCUCAUUCAAGUCCUAACGAGUGCAGACGAAUUCGCCGUGCAAGGCGUUUUCCACAAAUGGAGACAAGCUGCAGUCCCCGCGAGGCCUCAUUUGUAGGGGUACCCACAAUCAUAGCAUCUUAAAUUUAAAUUUGCUUUAUUUACUGCAUUUUAUUUAUUCUCCUUUUCACACAACUGUAAUCUCUCGAAGUGGCUCCCGUUAAUACUAGUAAUGAGCAAAAACUGCUUUGCAGGGUGGUUUUGUAUUGUGAGAUGUGUUGGAGGAAAAUAAUGAGAUCCGUCUGACAUAUGUGUGGGUUAAUUAACAAAAGAACCAGCUGGACGCCUGGGUUCAAAAUGCUGGGCUUUGCAUACUCUCCAGCAGGGGAGAGCCCCCAGCAAAGUUUAAAAACAGUCACAAAGUUAAGCAGCCAUAUAGUAUGGGAAUAUAGGCUUUCAGACCCCUUUUCAUAUCCCAUUUGGUCUGCUUACAGUGCUUGCCCUCUCUCCCCCUCUGGCAGUGAGCAGUCCACACACUGUUAAGUAAGCUUAAAAUGCUUUACUUACAAAAUCCAAAGGUCUGAUUCAUGUGUUAUUCCAUGCAGCAGCAUGGAGAACACCUUUAGAUUACCCUUGGGUACAAAAUACAGAAAGUUAGCUUCAAGCAUGCAUUCUGAGCUUGGAGCAAGCUCAGACAUGUCCUUCCUGGUUUAUCACAUGGUGCGAAGAAAGUGAGAGAAAGGAGGAGGAGAAGCUUCAUUUCCUAUGACCUAACUGAGUCUAGGUAAACAUAAUGGUGGUGGAAAUAACACCACAACCUACUUGAGAAUCUCGACUCACCUGUUGAAGUCUAAUGCUAUAGGACAGUUUUCAGAUUCCCCCUCUCCAGCCCUGCAAGAUUGGCUAUUUAUAUUCUCUGCAGUGUUUGAUAUGGGGGAAAUGGCUAACAACAACAACAAAUUAUUUAUAUGCCACCCAUCUGACUGGGUUGCCCCAUCCACUCUGGGUGGCUUCCAACAAAUUAAACAGAUUAAGCACAGUCAAACAUCAAACAUUAAACACUUCCCUACACAGGGCUUUCUUCAGAUGUCUUCUGAAAGUCAGAUAGCUUUCUUAAAAAUAAAAGAACCCUAUUUUUAUUCGUAUUAAAGCCUGCUUACGUGACAAAUUUAGGGAGUAAUCACAUCAACAGGAUUUUCAUCCUUGGCUUUCGUGAAACCGUUGCUGGAGUGUGUUCAGAUUAGUCAGGUUGCUUCAGAAAAUAUUGUUUUUGCAAGGUUAAUUGAGACCAUAGGCAAAAUGUGCCGCUUACCACAGCAAUUAAUCUUGGAUUCUGCUAGGCUUUAAUCUGACACACACAGUUUUCACCCCCUGUAACAGACCUUUGAUACAUUUAAUUCUGCUGAGCAAUAUUGAUUACGCUGCUGUGCCGUGUAUGCAUCCCAAAAUUUCACAGGACUUUCUUGGUAUUCUCUUACUGGUGAUUAUUACCUAAAAGCUCAAUCACAAUGUGGCCACAUCUGGAUGAUCAAAUGUACGUGCAGCCACACCAGGUUCUUUGCUCCUGCUUGCCUCUCUUGGGUGAGCAGGGAAACCAGCCAGGAAGUUGCAGAUAGCCACAGUUUCUUGUUGCAUCUGAGUCAGGACACUGGUGAAUGGCUUCCAAACAACCAGGGCCGUCUUACCCACAGGCACUAGCAGUGCAGGGCACCCGGGCGCUAGGUUCUCAGGGGCGCCAGGCUGAGAGUCCGGGGCCCGAGAGUUGAGUCCAGGGAAGAGGCCGCCCGUCGGUCGGAGCGCCGCAACGGGCUCUUCUGCUGUGGGUGGCUCUCCACCCCAACCCCCUGCCCUCCUGCCCAGCGUUUGAUGGCAGAGUCGUCGUCAAAGUCUUAAGGUGCCGCGGCACCAAAGCGAGCAGGCGCACCAGGUCCCCGGAUGGGCUUUUACGAGCUGGCUGCAGAGGAUUGCCACUUGGGUGCCCGGCGGCUGCCAGCCUUAACUUUCCUCCUUCCCUUUCUCUGCCUCCCAAAUUGUAGGUGGCUUGCUGGAGACGGAGGAUAACAUGUGAGCAGGGAGGGCAACGCAGGCGACAAAGAAAUUGGCUUGGCGGAGUCCCUGGCCAUUUUAUUUGAUUUGUAACCCCCUCCCUGUUGCCGACACCUGGCAUCCAACUGAGCUCCGGCCGCAGAAGCUCCGUCCAGAAGGCAAGUGGGGACGGGACGCUGGGCGGAUUUUUGCACCCUGGCGCCGCAUAUGCUUAAGACAGCCCUGCAAACAACGGAUUAAAAUUAGUCGUUGUGCUCCUUGGCACAGCCCUGUUCAUGCAGUGAUAGGACAUGUGAUCACUUUCCCUGGGAUCACCCGUAGGAGAAUUAUUGGGAAGAAGACGAUCUAGUAAUUACAUGGGGGCAGUGGCAUGGAAUCAGUAGUGCUCGGCUGGGGAAACAAUGGUGCUUAAUUGGCAUUUCCUCAAGUGUUGAUUAUAGGUGGAGGAGUAAGCAAAUUGUAUCUAAAGUAUAAUUAUGCAAAUGAGCUGGAAUGGUUAGCCUGUCGAUGCAUUUAGUCGCUUAGAGUCGGCCUGAUUCAUGCGCCGUUUUGUUCUACCCAUUUAAGCUAUUAAGAGAAAUGAAUGCCUAAUAAGAUUUUUUUUGCGGGGAGGAGCAGGAAGACCGCUGUAAUAUCUGGAUUUCAAAUGUUUUUCUCUACCUGAAGGUAGGGAAGGGGGGAAGGAACUCUUCACAUGCUUCGAGCCAUCCAACUCUGAGACAUUCUGAUCUGAAAGGGAUCUUCCUUCGUAGGUGUAGAUUUGCAGUGAGUAUUGCACCACUCCCAUGCAAAAAUACCGUAUUAUUCCAUGUAUAAGACUAGGUUUCCCCCCUAAAAAAUAAUGUCAAAAAUUAGGGAGCAUCUUAUACAUGGGGGGCGUCUUAUAGAUGGAAAAAUACGGUAUAUACGUGGAGAUGCCUUGCAGUAUGCAAAAGGAGUUCAUCUUUCAAGGCCAUGGUCCCAGAAAAGAUGUGGAUCCACAGAGUCAGACCACUGGCUCAUCAAGAUCAGUUUGCUCUACAUUGGGGUAGCCCAUAUCAUGCCCACCAUGCAUGGUUGGGCUUCAACCACCAUCAGCCCUUGGUUAUACGUGAGGCCAACAACAUUUGAAACCACCACAUUGACCAUCUUUGGUCUGUUCUGACAGCAGCUCUCCAGGGUUUUAGACAGGAAUCUUCAACUAGCCUUACCUGGAGAUUCCAAUGUUUGAACCAAGGACUUUUUGGAGGGGUGGGGUGUUUUGUUUUAUUUUUGCAUUCAAAGUACAUGCUAUUCUCCUGAGCCAUUGCUCUGUCCCAAACCCUGCUAUGUAGAGUUCUGGGUUCAUUCAGAACUCCUUAGCUGAGGCCUUUAAUGACUCCUGGUGGCUUGAGGAGUUGCCAUUUUUCAGGCACACUUUCUGGGCCCCAGUAUGUUUUCUCUCAUAAAUGGCUGGGUUGGGAAUGGGACUUCUUCCACCAUGAGGGGCCUCCUGUAAUCAGUAACCCAUGACUUUCAAAAAUAAAGUAAGAACUGAAUUUUCCCCCCUGAAAGAAGAGAGGGUGCUGUGACUUUACAGAAUUAGGACUGUACUUGGAAAAGCCCAAUUUAUGGGAUGUGACCCUAUAGUAUGGGAAAUCCUAUAGUCUCUGAAACCUCAGUGCCUGUGCUCAGUUAUGUUUUCAGGGAUUGGUGGGGUCACUGGGUAGUGUUUUCUGAAAGUUGGUAGACGUUGGAGCCUUCAAAUUGAAAUCUAUGUUUUGAGUUCUUGUUAAGUUAUUGACCUCGACUCUGAAAGUUACAAAAUUAUGCAAAAUUAACCAACUUCUGUUAGACAGCAAAUAAGUAUGAUUAUUUUUAAUUAUUAAAAAUGUAGAGUUUACUUCUUCAAUGUCAUCCUAUCAAGGGCCUUUAGUGUUUGUGUUGAGAACUCAAGAGAAUAACAUGCUGACGGCAUUUUAGCGAUUUUAAUUAUGAUCCGGUAACGAGCAUUUCUGAACUCCAUCUGGACUUUUCAAAUGUACAAAUUGUAUUAAUCUGGUGGAAUAAGAUUUUAUCUGCAUUAAUGGCUCAUUUGAAAGUCUCUGAAACCCCUUAUGGAUACUUAAUCAUGUUAUAUCUCUGUUGUUCACAUUGUUUCUACAAAAUGGCCCCUGACAGGAAGAAAUGCUUCUGUUCCAGGCACUGCCAUUAUUGGGGUGCUGAUGUUACACCAGCUUCA